rnacentral:lncRNA from 1 species
GUUAGUACUUGUCGAAAUGCUAAUAGUGUCCAAUGUUGAUGCCGACAACACUCCUGCCUUUUUAUCCAGUCGUUUCAAAGGCCCCCAUCAUGGACACUAACUGGUACUUGUGGACACUCCUGUUAACUAAACAUGUGCUCGUACAUUUACUGUGCAAUUUGAGAUGAAAAAUAAUUUUAGGGAAUCUAAGAACAUCUUUAAUCACACCGCGUCAGAAUGUUAAACGAAGCACGGGUCUUGUAAGAGAAAUUUAGGUGUAUCAGGGUUUAAUGCGAUGAUUUCCAAACAAUAAGCAAGUAAUUCGGACUGGUAUGAGAGGCUAUAGUUUUCGAACCUCCAUGAAUUGAAAAGCAGACAGCAAGAACGUUACCUAGUAUUUAAUACUUGGCAGGAUCGAAUACACGAACACAUGAGCCAGUUUUUCACUUCUCUGCUGUCUGAAUACCUGUACCGAAUUAUAAGACUAUGGUCUGACACGGAAAAGGAUGGCAGAUUGGGAGCCAAAGG